rnacentral:rRNA from 1 species
GCCUUCAUGAAGCUGGAAUUGCUAGUAAUGGCAGGUCAGCAUACUGCCGUGAAUACGUUCCCGGGCCUUGUACACACCGCCCGUCACACCAUGAGAGUUGGGAAUACCCGAAGCCUGUGAGCUAACUGCAAGGAGGCAGCAGUCGAAGGUAGAAUCAAUGAUUGGGGUGAAGUCGUAACAAGGUAAC